UACGGGGGGAGCAAGCGUUGUUCGGAUUUACUGGGCGUAAAGGGCGCGUAGGCGGCGUGACAAGUCACUUGUGAAAUCUCCGGGCUUAACUCGGAACGGUCAAGUGAUACUGUCGUGCUAGAGUACAGAAGGGGCAACUGGAAUUCUCGGUGUAGCGGUGAAAUGCGUAGAUAUCGAGAGGAACACCUGCGGCGAAGGCGGGUUGCUGGGCUGAUACUGAGCUGAGGCGCGAAAGCUAGGGGAGCGAACGGG
rnacentral:rRNA from 1 species